rnacentral:lncRNA from 1 species
CAGGAGGGCACCUCGCUUUCCCCUCUGGAAGCAGCAGAGCGGUUGGGAGCCCUGUUGCUGCCUGUGGCUGCGUGGUGACCAUUCUUGAAACGUCUCCAAAUUUUUGUCUGUUGUGCUAAUGUCCCAGUCCUUUUUCAUACAGAGGGUUUUGACCUUGGAGAAAUCCAGAAGAAAUCAAUGGAAAAUGGAAGCUGUCAGUCUCCGUACCUCCAGCAGGAGCUUCUCUGUACAUCCCAUAUGCAUAUUUCUUGGAUGGGAAGGGUGUCGAUUUCUCUUGUAGUCAAACCAGUGACUGAUUCAUCACUAAACUAUCUCUUCCUGUAAUUCCCUGCUACUUCAUUCAGCUGAUUGUAUCUUAGGGAGCAGAGAUAAGUGCCGGAGCAAUACAAAGAGAGCUGGCUGAUAAAUUAAGCUUCAGGUGAAAAAUAGAUGUCAUUUAUUAUUUGUAUCCUUCUGAGGGUUAUCCAUAGGAACACUGGUGAUACAUGAGAACCCUAUUUUGGUAGAUGCAGUACAAACUCAGACACUGUUAUUUCAGAGCAAAAGGAGGAUUCUUGCC